AUCUUUGCGCUCGAGGGCAAUGACAUAGUUAGUGAUUUUCUAAUCAAGCCACGUCCGUCGCUAGUUGAAAACUAUUUCCAAAUCCUAUCUUCGGCCUGGUUACGUCCUGACGGUCGAGAAUCUCCGAAAGGGUUCUCCUCAUUGGUGAAGCC
rnacentral:snRNA from 1 species